rnacentral:rRNA from 1 species
UACGAAGGGGGCUAGCGUUGUUCGGAUUUACUGGGCGUAAAGCGCACGUAGGCGGACUAUUAAGUCAGGGGUGAAAUCCCGGGGCUCAACCCCGGAACUGCCUUUGAUACUGGUAGUCUUGAGUUCGAGAGAGGUGAGUGGAAUUCCGAGUGUAGAGGUGAAAUUCGUAGAUAUUCGCAAGAACACCAGUGGCGAAGGCGGCUCACUGGCCCGAUACUGACGCUGAGGUGCGAAAGCGUGGGGAGCAAACAGG